AAGUCCUGCUGAAUUGGUUUGGAUUAAGAGAGAAGAAAAGGAGAGGACUCUUGGUAAAAUAUCAGGUAUAGACAGACAUACCCUAGUCUUGUGGCACCCAUGAAUAGAUCCAGUGAGCCUGUGCAGCUGUGUUUUGAUCAGCAGAGAAGUUUCCUGGCAUCCGAGAACUGAAAUCACCUUUUGGGUAUGACAAGUGCAUCUAACUGCAGGGACGCAG